UCUCCGCCUUCCUCCCACUAUCUUGGCCGCUUUGGGAACACCACCCCCCACCGCAAGGCUCUCUCCCCUCCCCCCGGAUUCCCCCUAGGGGUCCACCCCCCAAUACCUCCCACCUCUUGUGCCCCUAGGUCUGCACUUCCCCGGCGACCAGGUUCCACGCCCACCGGCCUGCCAGCGGCCUGGACGCCAGAGGAAGUUAGCUUGGGGUGCAGGGAGGAGGGGAAGAGGGGAAGCCGGUGCCGUCAGGGUAUGAGGGAAAGCCUGGGUACAGGAGAGGGGGAGGGGACCAGUCUGCAGGACAGGGAAAGGAGAAGGACCCAAGAAGGGAGAGCCCAGAGUGACUGUGCCACUGCAUGAUCCCAACGGCUUUGUAUGACAGUUCCACACCCUCACCAGACCUUGGGGCUGUCUGCAAUCUUCCUUCCAAUGUUGGCCAUGCUGUAUACAGGCCUUCUAUACAUUUUGCUAACUUACCUGAUGCAUCUGUUUGGCCCUCACGAAGAACAGAGGUGGUAAGAGUAAUAUCCUUGCCUUGCCCCUGAUCUCAUGGGAAAUCAUGUGGUCCUUCAACCUUCAGUUUGAUGUAAGCUGUAGGCUUUUGUAGAUAACUUUUCCCCAGUUAAAAUCUAGUUCUGUGUUCUGAGAGUUUUUAUCAUGAAUAGAUGAUGAAUUUUUUCAAAUGUCUUUUUUGUUGUCAUAA